rnacentral:rRNA from 1 species
GACGAACGCUGGCGGCGUGCUUAACACAUGCAAGUCGAACGAAGAGCGAUGGGAGCUUGCUUCUAUCAAUCUUAGUGGCGAACGGGUGAGUAACGCGUAAUCAACCUGCCCUUCAGAGGGGGACAACAGUUGGAAACGACUGCUAAUACCGCAUACGAUCUAAACUCGGCAUCGAGGAUAGAUGAAAGGUGGCCUCUACAUGUAAGCUAUCACUGAAGGAGGGGAUUGCGUCUGAUUAGCUAGUUGGAGGGGUAACGGCCCACCAAGGCGAUGAUCAGUAGCCGGUCUGAGAGGAUGAACGGCCACAUUGGGACUGAGACACGGCCCAGACUCCUACGGGAGGCAGCAGUGGGGAAUCUUCCGCAAUAGACGAAAGUCUGACGGAGCAACGCCGCGUGAGUGAUGACGGCCUUCGGGUUGUAAAGCUCGGUUAAUCGGGACGAAAGGCCUUCUUGCGAAUAGUGAGAAGGAUUGACGGUACCGGAAUAGAAAGCCACGGCUAACUACGUG